GGGCGGUUAGCUCAGUUGGUUAGAGCACUUGCUUCACACGCAAGAGGUCAAUGGUUCGAGCCCAUUACCGCCCACCA
rnacentral:tRNA from 1 species